GACGAACGCUGGCGGCGUGCUUAACACAUGCAAGUCGAACGAUGAACCCGGAGCUUGCUCUGGGGGAUUAGUGGCGAACGGGUGAGUAACACGUGAGUAACCUGCCCUGGACUCUGGGAUAAGCGUUGGAAACGACGUCUAAUACCGGAUAGGACCUUGGAUCGCAUGAUCUGGGGUGGAAAGUUUUUUCGGUCUGGGAUGGACUCGCGGCCUAUCAGCUUGUUGGUGAGGUAAUGGCUCACCAAGGCGUCGACGGGUAGCCGGCCUGAGAGGGUGACCGGCCACACUGGGACUGAGACACGGCCCAGACUCCUACGGGAGGCAGAAGUGGGGAAUAUUGCACAAUGGGCGAAAGCCUGAUGCAGCAACGCCGCGUGCGGGAUGACGGCCUUCGGGUUGUAAACCGCUUUUAGUAGGGAAGAAGGGCUUCGGCUUGACGGUACCUGCAGAAAAAGGACCGGCUAACUACGUG
rnacentral:rRNA from 1 species